AACGAACGCUGGCGGCAUGCCUAACACAUGCAAGUCGAACGAAGCCUUCGGGCUUAGUGGCGCACGGGUGCGUAACGCGUGGGAAUCUGCCCUUGGGUUCGGAAUAACAGUUAGAAAUGACUGCUAAUACCGAAUGAUGUCUUCGGACCAAAGAUUUAUCGCCCAAGGAUGAGCCCGCGUCGGAUUAGCUAGUUGGUGAGGUAAAGGCUCACCAAGGCGACGAUCCGUAGCUGGUCUGAGAGGAUGAUCAGCCACACUGGGACUGAGACACGGCCCAGACUCCUACGGGAGGCAGCAGUGGGGAAUAUUGGACAAUGGGCGAAAGCCUGAUCCAGCAAUGCCGCGUGAGUGAUGAAGGCCUUAGGGUUGUAAAGCUCUUUUACCCGGGAUGAUAAUGACAGUACCGGGAGAAUAAAGCCCCCGGCUAACUCCGUGCCAGCAGCCGCGGUAAU
rnacentral:rRNA from 1 species